CAACGACUGAGUCACCCAGGUGCCCGGUACCUUCAACUCUUAAGAGCGAGCUGGCAUCUUCAAGAUGUUGAGUUUCUUCCCGAAGAGACUCCAGAAACAUGCGUUCUCAGUUGAUUCUCUUUAACUGCUGAGAAAGAGAGAUAGUCAGAGCAGGAACACAAGCAGGGCGGUGGGAGAGGGAGAAGCAGGCUCCACGCUGAGCAGUGAGCCCGAUGUGGGGCUCGAUCCCAGGACCCCGGGAUCAUGACUUGAGCCGAAGGCAGAUGCUUCACCGACUGGGCCACCCAGGUGUCCCCCCUGUUGAAUCUUGAUCCAUUACUUGUUCCCUCACCAUCUUAAAUCGUCAACUGGUUCCUUUCCAAUGGCUCUCUUCCCUCUGUCCCAAACCCUCCCCAGUAAUCAUGCUUGAAGGCCAGGGACACCAUGUUGCAGAACUCCACGAGGCACCAUUGACAUCGUGGUCUCUGUGAAUGGUACCUCCUGGAGCUGAGGGAGGCACACAGUAGGAGGCAUCAACCGCGAGGGGACAGUGAGGGUGGGGAAAGGCGCAUCUCCUCUGGUCACUAGGUGGCGCUCACGCAGUUUCCAACUACACAAUGUGACGGCGGAUCAGAGAUUGACGACAGCAAUUCGAGCGUCAGACAAGUUCCUCUCCUUGACUCAGCCCCGGAGCUUCCACUCCUUCUCUGGAGCCUCCUCUGCAGCUGAAGUCCAGGCCUAGGGAUUUCACCUUCUAACUGAUGCCAGGUUAUUUCCACAUCUUGACUAUUGUGACUAUUGUGAAUAAUACUGCAAUGAACAAAGGAGUACUGACAUCUCUUCAAGAUCCUGAAAACAAACAAGUGGGACUAUAUCAAACUAAAAAGCUUGUACAUGGGGAGGGAAACAAUGGAGUGAAAAAGCAACCUACAAAAUGGGAGAAAAUAUUACACACCGUACAUCUGGUAAGGGGUUAAUCUCCAAAAUAAAUAAGGAACCCCUACAAUUGUAAGAACAAAAACACAAACUAGUAGCCCGACUGAAAAAUGGGCUAAGGACUUGAAGAGACAUUUCUCCAGAGAAGACAUACAAAUGGCCAACAAGCUUGAAAAGAUGCUCAACAUCACUCAUCAUCAGAGAAAUGCAAAUCAAAACCACAAGGAGAUAAUCACUCACACCUGUCAGGAUGGCUAUCCUAUUAUUAAAAAAGAAAGAAAAAGAUAUCAAGAAAACAAGUAUUGAUGGGGGUGUGAGAAAUUGGAACCCUUGUGCCCUGUGGGUGGGAAUGCAAAAUGGUGUGGCUUCUAUGGAAAACAGUAGGGACGUUCCUCAAAAAAGUUAAAACUAGAACUACCCCACUAUCCAGUGACCCCCCGCCCCCCCCCCGCCCCCCCCCACUGCUGGGUAUUCAUGCAAAAGAACUGAAAGCAACAUCUCAAAGAGAUAUUAGCACUUCUCUCAAAGUCUUUGCUACUCGGCUCCCUACAGCAGCGAAGGAGUCCCUCUGGCUUUUAAACCCAACAAAAAAACCCCACACCCCGGCCCCGCUCCCAGGACGAAUCCUAGGUUCUGUACCCCCGACCCCACCCCACCGCCCCUCGCCCAGACCUGCCCGCCACGGAUAAUAGAAUUUCGCUCCCUGCCGUGGGUCUCGGCCCAGGCCAGAGCACGCCCGGGGAAGGCGCCCCGCGGGAGGUCGGGGCAAGCUAGGGCUGUGGGGCCAUCGGGCCGUCGUCAGGCGGCCGCGCUAGCCGGAGCAGCGUGACGCGGCGACCGGAGGGUGGCGACGCGGGGGCCGAAACGGGCGGUGCGCUCCCGGGCGCCCGGCUUCCUGGGCGGCCGCCAGCCCUGCUCGGCGGGCGGGGGCGGGGGCGGGGGCGGCGGCGGCCUUUUAAGGCCGGGAGGAGUGGCCCGGCCCGGGGUCGUCAGCCGCGCAGGGCUGGCCGCUGUCACACGCGCCCCGCGCCCCUGCUCGGUCCCGUCCCGCGCGCACCCGGCGCACGGCGCACCCUCGCGCUCUGGGACCGGAUCCGGCCCCUCUCCGAAACUCCUCAUGGGCCCCGAGGCCGCCUGCCCCGGGAGGGGCCUCCUGUCUCGCCUCCGGGUGAGGACCUGGAUCGAGCCCGUGGUGGCCUCCACGCAGGUGGCCGCCUCCCUCUACGAGGCGGGGCUGCUCCUCGUGGUGAAGGCGUCCUUCGCGGCCGGGGCCUCCUCCAACCACAGCGCCAGCCCGUCGCCCCGGGGCGCCCCGGAGGACCAGCAGCAGAGGGCCAUCUCCAAUUUCUACAUCGUCUACAACCUCGUGGUGGGCCUGACGCCCCUGCUGUCCGCCUACUGCCUGGGCUGGCUCAGCGACCGCUACCACCGCAAGAUCUCCGUCUGCGUGUCCCUGCUGGGCUUCCUGCUCUGCCGCCUCGGGCUGCUCCUCAAGGUGCUGCUGGACUGGCCCGUGGAGGUGCUGUACGGCGCGGCGGCGCUGAACGGGCUGGGCGGCGGCUUCUCGGCCUUCUGGUCGGGCGUCAUGGCCCUGGGCUCCCUGGGCUCCUCCGAGGGCCGCCGCUCCCUGCGCCUCAUCCUCCUCGACCUGAUCCUGGGCCUGGCGGGGUUCUGCGGGAGCAUGGCCUCCGGGCAUCUCUUCAAGCAGAUGACGGGGCACUCCGGGCAGGGCCUGGUGCUGACGGCCUGCAGCGUGAGCUGUGCCACUUUCGCCCUUCUCUACAGCCUCUUGGUCCUGAAGGUCCCUGAGUCGACGGCAGGUCCCAGCAAGGCGCUCCCCGCCGUGAAUACGGUGUCGGGCACGGUUGGCACCUAUCGUGCCCUGGAUCCUGAUCAGUUAGACGAGCAGAGUGUGGUGGGGCACCCUCCCUCUCCUGGGAAAGCACAGCCCCCAAGGACUAUCAUUGCCCUGCUCUUUCUGGCUGCCAUCAUAUAUGACCUGGCCGUGGCGGGCACAGUGGAUGUGAUACCCCUUUUCCUGCUAAGGGAGCCUCUCAGUUGGAACCAGGUGCAGGUGGGCUAUGGUAUGGCUGCGGGGUACACCAUCUUCAUCACCAGCUUCCUGGGCGUCCUGGUCUUCUCCCGCUGCUUGCAGGACACCACCAUGAUCAUGAUCGGUAUGGUCUCUUUUGGGUCAGGAGCCCUCCUCUUGGCGUUUGUGAAAGAGACAUACAUGUUCUACAUCGCCCGAGCCGUCAUGCUGUUCGCUCUCAUCCCCAUCACAACCAUCCGAUCAGCAAUGUCCAAACUCAUAAAGGGCUCUUCUUAUGGAAAGGUGUUCGUCAUCCUGCAGCUGUCCCUGGCUCUGACUGGGGUGGUGACCUCCACGGUGUACAACAAGAUCUAUCAGCUCACCAUGGAAAAGUUCGUCGGCACCUGUUUUGCUCUCUCCUCCUUUCUCUCCUUCCUGGCGAUCAUCCCAAUUGGCCAGUAAGUGGCGGAGACAAGAGUUGAACCCAGGCAGUCUCCGACCCGCCACAGGGCACCGCUUCUUAGAAGAGUCACCAGUGUCUGGGUCCCAUCUCCUUAGAGAGCUCCCUGCGCGAGCCAGCUGCUCUCUCCUGAAUGCUCACUGAGCUGACACGUGAUCUACCACCCUCUCUCUCCUCAACCUCCAUCCGCUCCACGGUCAGCUUCUGCAAAGCAUCGUGGCCUAUAAACAAGCCUCGUGGUUGCAAUAUGGAGACAUCACGGAGACAUGAAGGCACUGACCUAUGGGAGCUGCGAGGACCAGCAACGGCAGAGGCCCUCUGAAGGCAAAGGAAGGGACUGGGUGCUGGUGACCAAGGCAACCCACCGCCCCCAAACCCCAAGUCCCAGCCAGAGUUGGCCUCAGAAUGACCCGCUCCAGCUCAGGGGUCCCUGGUGGGUGGGGAACACCACUUUCUUGGUGAUGGAAGUACUUUCUCAGCUUUCAGAUGUCCCUGCUAGACAGAGGUUGGGUUCCGGGGGCAGUAGAGUGUGAAAUUUCAAGGGUUAUAUGCAGGCUGCAUACACAGUCAUGCCAGACGCACAAGGGGCUUCAGACGGUAGCCCCCUUUCUUCCAGGAACUGUCUCCAGGACUCCAAGGUACAGCUAACUAGUCACCUGGGUGCUGUGCUGGGAGUCCCAUGUGAAAACUCAAAGCAUACAUUUUCAACAGCCUAAGGGAAACACAGAGCGGAUGUUUUAUAAGAACUCCCAAUGUUUUAGAAGAUUUGGGGCUCCGGCUCUUGGCUUCAGGGUAGUUUUAUUGCCGUUGUUACUGUUGCUUUUAAGAAGCAAAUAUCAAAAGACUUUCUUUAGUGGAAUAUUAUACUGAAUAUUUUCAGUCAACAAUACUUCCCAAAGUGGGUGGUGUGAAGGGAGAGGGGAGUGGAGAUAUGCUAAGAGCCAUUUUAUGUUGAGGUACCUAUUUUUAUAGCCUAUUUUACCUAUACAUACAGAAAAGCAGACUCACUUCCUAAUAAAAUUGACAUUUAUUGUA